AAUGAACGUUGGCGGCGUGGAUUAGGCAUGCAAGUCGUGCGGAAAGGCCCCGCAAGGGGUACUCGAGCGGCGUAAGGGAUAGUAAUGCGUGGAUUACCUACCCUCCGGCCUGGGAUAGCUGCGGGAAACUGCAAUUAAUACCAGAUAACGUCUCCGGACCAAAGGUGUGAUUCCGUCAGAGGAUGGGUCCACGUCCUAUUAGCUAGUUGGUAGGGUAAAGGCCUACCAAGGCUACGAUGGGUAGCGGGUGUGAGAGCACGACCCGCAUCACUGGGGCUGAGACACAGCCCAGACACCUACGGGUGGCUGCAGUCGAGAAUCUUCGGCAAUGGGCGAAAGCCUGACCGAGCGACGCCGCGUGCGGGAUGAAGGCCUUCGGGUUGUAAACCGCUGUCAGUGGGGAGGAAAUGUCGGAGGGUUCACCCUCCGGCUUGACCUAUCCGCAGAGGAAGUACGGGCUAAGUUCGUGCCAGCCACCGCCGUAA
rnacentral:rRNA from 1 species